AGUUGUGCGUCUCCAACUGGUCUCCUAGUAACUUUUUAUAGACAUCGCAGUCUAGUGUAGGUUUCGUCCUAUGGAGUACCCUCCUAUAUUCAGUAGAUAGGCCACUGUG
ncrna:unclassified sequences saliva-tongue-1 RNA